rnacentral:rRNA from 1 species
AACGUAGGUGGCGAGCGUUAUCCGGAUUUACUGGGCGUAAAGCGCUUGUAGGUGGUUUUGUAAGUUGGGCGUGAAAUCUCCGGGCUUAACUUGGAGAGGCCGUCCAAUACUGCGAGGCUAGAGGUUAUUCGAGGAAAGUGGAAUUCCUGGUGUAGUAGUGAAAUGCGUAGAUAUCUGGAGGAACACCGGUGGCGAAGGCGGCAUCCUGGACCGGCAUUGACGCUGAGGAGCGAAAGCCAGGGGAGCAAACGGG